UGCAACCUGAGCUCAGGCGUGACUACCCGCUGAACUUAAGCAUAUCAUUUAGCGGAGGAAA
rnacentral:rRNA from 1 species